rnacentral:rRNA from 1 species
AAAAGAACCUGAAACCGUGUACGUACAAGCAGUGGGAGCCCCACCACUAAGCCAGUGGUGAACUCCACAUACGCAUCCUUUGCUGAGGAUACGGUUAACGGAGCGAAAGCGACGUUCAACCGCAAAACAAGCAGAGGGGGCUUAGUGGUGGGGUGACUGCGUACCUUUUGUAUAAUGGGUCAGCGACUUAUAUUCUGUAGCAAGGUUAACCGAAUAGGGGAGCCGGAGGGAAACCGAGUCUUAAUUGGGCGUUAAGUUGCAGGGUAUAGACCCGAAACC